rnacentral:lncRNA from 1 species
GGAUCCCAAGAGGCCCCUGAAGCCCCAAGAGCUCCCCUGAUUGUUCCAAAGCAACAUUCCCCUCCAUGAACAACUCAGGGACCCCCUCGAUCCACGGCGUGAGGCCCACCAGCAGAGGAAGAGGAGCUUCCAGUCCUGACUCCCACUAGGCGCAGGGGAGCCGAGGUGAGCUCCCAGGCCCGCCGCAUCUUCCCCUCCUCUUUGGGUGGAUUAAAACAGACUUGGACAGAGUCUGGAAAAACAAACUCUUUUAAAACAAGACAAAGAUUGAGUCUGGCCAACUGGCUAUUUUCAAUCCUUGCUGAACGGAGUCAAGACAGUCGGUAGUAACAGCUUGUGGCCAUCCGCAAUCGUCCUCCCCGCACGAGAGGGUGGAGCCUCCUGGAAGUGACCAGAGCCGGUGACUUCGGGAAUCAACCCUCCUGAAACAGCGGAUGGCCUAGUGAGCCUUUCCAGAACUGCAGAGGGGCAUUUGAGUGUGGAACAUGAGUGCUGGGCACCUGGAGGAAUGGAGGAUUCCCCAAAGCUCGCUGGAUGCACAUCCCUUGCUCAGCAGUCCACAUCAUCCGUAUCUCUCAUCCCACAGCCGCGGGCUGCCCAGCCAGGGCCUUGCGGCAGGAGGUGGGACAGAUGCAGACUUCAGCCCCGAGUCUGGCUUACUUCAGGAUCCCUCAGGGCUCUCUCACCUCAGAGGCAGCGUGGGACCCCAGGCCACACCUUGUUUGCAGGCCUCGCCUAGAUCGUGGUAACAGCCAGAACUCAACAAUUUCUCCAAGUCAGCCUCCCCGCAGCCCGGAGUGGGGACUGAGACCAACAUGCACCCUCAUCUGCGGGCACGCAGGGACACAGCAAGUCCAGAAUGCCAAGAGGGAAAUCAAAACAGCUUUUCCUGCCUGGGAAACAGUAACAACCACUUCAGAGUGAUCACCGCCCGGCCACGCACAGCCUGGAGGAGCCCAUGUCCUAUUAGGGUAUCGGCUUUGCCUCCGAUUAUCUGGCAAAUAAACCAAUUUAGGAGUCCGCCAGGGUCUUUCUGGCCACCUCUCCAGGGCCCUGGCUGGGCCAGUCCUGUCUUCAUUUCCAUACAGCCAGCAUCCUCAGUGAGAUGGAGAAAUGUCAUUAUUUACCAAGAAACCAAGAUCUGAAAAUGGCAAUUACUCGGCAGGUCAGCAGAAAGCCCCAGGAUACUUCUCUCCCCGGGAUUCAGCCAGCAGCUCGGAGCUGGAAGACCGAGCCAGUGCCCACCCCACAGGCUCCCACCCCCUGUGAACUCACAUCCCAUUGGUUUACAAAAACGACUAUGUAUCCCCCCGACAAAUACGUAUUCAUGCCUCCAAAUGUUAAGUCUAUUGCACACUUUAUAAAACACAAACUGAAAAGUCACAGUAAAAUGCAGAUAUAAACAUGAAAAAAAAAAAAAAAAAAAAAAAAAAAAA